rnacentral:rRNA from 2 species
GUGCGAGACCGAUAGCGAACAAGUACCGUGAGGAAAAGAUGAAAAGAACUUUGAAAAGAGAGUUAAAGAGUACCUGAAACUGCUGAAAGGGAAGCGAAUCGUAUCCAGUGUCUAUAAUCUGCGGCAUAUUUCAUUGGCGGCGGUGCGCGUGCUUUUGCGUCGGAAGCGGCUUUUGUUGCUCUGUGCUUUUGCUGUGCGUGGUGUUGCUGGUGCCCUGUGUUGCGGUGGGACGUCAGAGUCAGUUUGCAUGCUGCGGGAAAUGGCUGCCGAGGAGGUAGGUCGAGAUUUCGGUCUUGGCUGUUAUAUCUUGGUGGUUUGUUGUCGUGGUUGAGACUGAGGUGCCUACAAUGUGCUUUUGAGUGUACCGGGUUCUCAUUUGGUGGACUGUUUGGAUAGCUUGCUAUGCUUGUGGUUUUUUCAUCGGGUGAUUGAGUCUGGUGGUAACUUGUUGCUGUUCGGGACUUUG